CAAGAUCGCGGAACAACACAGCACCGGAGAAAGGUGACCCUUCCAGCGAGCAGCCAGAGCAGCAACGAAGGCCAUCCAAGCGAGAUCGUGGGUCAGCCAUCUCGCGUCGCCGCGAAAACACGACAGUCGUUCGUCAUGCCUUGGAUAUAACAACAAAUCCUCCACGCACCCAGUCAACUGCCAGAAGUGACUCAAACACAGGCCACCAGUGGCACUCGGCUGUACCACUGCAGUGCUGCGGAAAUUGCCAGCACCAGUGGCUUUGCAACAGCUGUUUCACAGCAUGUCGGAGACAAUGCCUACGAAAUUAUUGGCCCUGAUGACGAGAGCCCUCAAGGGGCAAAUGACAUCUCUGUUGCAGAAGUGAGCCCGAUACCACCUGAAGUUACCAUGACAGAUGACAUGGCAGCAAUAGAUACAGAGACUGCCAUGUUUACUGCAGCUACAACAGUGUACGAGGCAAGCAGCAGCGCGUCAGCAUCAGCAGCAGUGUCAGAAUGAACCCUACCAGGCCUGGUAGAGCAACAUGUGUGCUAUCACUGUGACUUUUUUUGUAGUGCAUACAACUCAUUUGCUCAACAUACAAAAGCUUUUCACCACGACUGUGAGCCAGUGUUCUUGUGCAGCUGGGAACAUGUUGUUCCGAGCUGUCCGAAAAAAUUGCUACAUCAUCCAGAUAUGUCAAGGCAAACUCCUGCAAGUCUUUUAGGACAAUAUCCAUUAACUUAGAGAAGCUAAACGGGGCGUUCUUCAGCCUGAAGCUGAGUGCGAGAGGGCGAAAAGUGCCUACAGGUGAGAUGAAUGUGGCAUAGCAGCUGGCACUUUCUGAAAGGGGAACUUUCCAGUACCCCUGCACGAGAUCUAUAGUUGAAAUGUAUUUAGCAGUGCUAACUUUUUCAGUUCGUUCCUCAAUGUUGGGUAUCGGGUACAGCUGAUCCCUAGUGAUGGCAUUUAACUUCCUGUAGUCAACACAUGGACGAAAGUCCUUGUUAGGGGUUUCUACCAGUAUUAGCGGUGACGUGUAGUCACUCUCAGCGGGCUCAAUAACUCAACUCUAACAUGCGCUGUAUUUCUGCCUCCAUAAUUUCUCUCUGUCUUGGAGACACCCUGUAAGGCUUUGAUCUUACUGGUUCGGUUGAUGUCAGCUCUAUUUCAUGCGUUAUUAGUUCGGUUCUACCUGGCCAAUCGCUGAACCUGUCGAUAUAUUCCCCUAACACCCCUUUUAGCUCAUCUAGCUGCUCUGGUCUUAGAGAGUGCGAGCUUACCGAAUGUUUUACUACUCCUUCUAGGCCGAUUUCAGAGUUGGAGGUCGCCCUAUACUCCUUAAUCUUGGUGCUAGUGCCAUCCUGCUCUUUGAUGGUAUAGUUAACGACUCCGCUCCGCUCUAUAUACAGCUUCAUCAAAUUGCAGUGAUAUAUCCUCACCUCCUUCCUGCGACCGGGCAUUUUCAGAGCAUAGUUAGUAUCUGUGCAACACUUUAACGGGCCCGUCCCAGUGAACUCCAAGCUUGUUCUUUCUUGAAGGUUUGAGGAUGAUUACCUGGUCUCCGGCGUUAAACAAACGAAGCCUCGCGUUCUUGUUGUAAUAGAAUUUGGCAUUCUUUUGAGUUACUCCCAUGUUCUUUUCGACUAGUUCUUGGGUUGCGCUUAGCCGUUCCAGCAGAUUUAGCACCUAUUCAACCACUGUCGGACUCUCCCCUUUUGCCUCCCACAUCUCUCAACAUUCUCAGUGGAGAACGGAGUGUCCUCCGAUACACUAGUUCUCCUGGUGAGAACCCUGUCGCUUCAUGUGGAACCGUUCGCAAAGCAAACAAAGUUGCCGGCAGGCAGUUCUCCCAGUCCUUGUGCUCGUAACAGAGCGCACGCAAAACUUGCUUAAGCACUGAAUGCCACCUCUCUACACUGUCUGACUGAGGGUGAUAGACAGAACUGUGUAUUAACUUUACCCCACACUUUUUCAAGAUUGUGGAAGUCAGUGCGCUCAUGAAUACUGACCCUUGAUCUGCCUGAAUUUCGGCUGGAAACCCAACUCGUGCAAACGCUGUCAAAAGCGCGUCUACUACUUCGGUGGAGCUGAGCUCUUUCAGAGGGAUUGCUUCUGGAAACUUUGUAGCCGGACACAGCAUGGUAAAUAAGUACCUGUAGCCCGAUUUUGUUUUUGGAAGAGGCCCUACCGUGUCUAUUACAAGUCGUCUGAAAGGUUCUGUUAUUAAGGGCACUACCUUUAGUGGAGAUUUCCAUGUCUCGCCUGGUUUGCCAGAGCGCUGGCAGGCGUCGCCUGAUCUUACAAAGUUUUCUGUGUCUUUGAAACAGCCAGGCCAGUAGUAUUCCAUAAGCAAUCUUUCCUUUGAUUUGUUUAUACCUAGGUGGCCGGACCACCCAUUUCCAUGACAGACUCAAAAGGUCCUCCCUAUACUUAGUAGGUACGACUAACUGAUCUAAAAUCCUACCCUUUCGAUCUCUGUAGUGUCGAUACAAUCUUCCUCUCAUGUAUCGUCUUGUUGCGCCUAGCAAUGCCUUCUUUGGCUGUGUGAUGUAAAUUAGCUAAGCUCUCAUCAUUCUUUCGCUCGGCUGCCAAUGACUCUCUAUCCACACGUAAGAGCUUAUCAAAGUUCUUUGAGGCCGGUGAUAAUAACGACCCUGUCUCGCUUGUGAGUGCAUCAGAUUGUUUUUCCUGCAGGCUUGAGCUUGGACACUGUAGUGAUACACUCUCGAUGAGCUGGUCAGCUGGCAGGCUCUCCUCGACUGAUUUUUCAUCCCUCGAGCCUAGCUCGAAUUCGGGUAUGGAAGUUAUCCCCUUUUCUGCUUCCGCUGGAGCAGCUUAUGCAUUUUCAGCUGAAAGCGACGCUAUUUUACGGGCUUGGCCUCGCGUCAAUGCCUGUACUAUGCCCUCUCCCAGUUUAAGCCCUUUGUCACGCAGUAACUGAUUCGAAAAAAUGUAAGGGUACUGCAGUGACAAAAAAUUGGAAACUGCAGCCUCAGUCUCUAGCUCCCCGAAUGGUCCACUGAUUUUGACUUUGGCCAUGGGCAGACACACGCUGUGUUCUUCUACAACCUGUUUGAUCCAUGCUACUUCUCCGGUGAAGUCAUCUACCGUCAUGUAAGACGGACGGACAAUGUCCAUCGUGGCGGCACCGUCUCUUAGCACUCGGCAUGGUUUGCCAUUAACUUGCAGGUGUUGAAGAAUAGGGCUUAAAAGUGCUAUAUUGUCGUAUUUUUCCUCUAAGUAGGAAAAAACUACGCUAGGCGUCCCGCAGUUUACAAUUAUAUGUCCCAGUUUGUGGCAUUUAUAACAGCGGAUCGGCCUUAAAGAUUCAAAUUUUCUUUUCUGUUCUUUUUGUGCGGUUUCUCCGUUAAGUUUCUCCUCGCUCUUUUCUGCGGGCUUUUCCUCCAUGUCUACAGGCUCCGAUCGUCUAGUCUGCAAACCCCUUUUGAACGGAAAUGGUUUCUGCAGUCCAUUUCGACCGUCCGAGUUUCCGUCCUCGGUGUUCAACUUUCUACGGGUUGCGUACUCUUCGGCUAAUUCAGCCGCCCUUUCCACAGUGUUUACAUUCCGUCUGUCUUGCACCCAGUUUCACAGCUUGGGGGAUGGUUUUGUAAAACUGCUCUAGACACAUGCAUUCAAUGAUCAUGUCUCUGCUGUCGUACGCUUCCGCGCUUUUCAGCCACUUGACUAGGUUGGCCUUUAAGCUAUAUGCAAACUCCGGAUAUCCCUCGCUAUCUUUCUUGCCUGUGCUCCUAAACCUUUGCGGAAAUGCUUCGGCUGAAAGGCGGUAUUUCUUCAGGAGACUAGCCUUAACUUCUGCAUAAUCAAAUGCAUCCUGUGCACCGAGUCUGGCGAUUACCUCUGCAGCCUCACACAACAUAGACAGCAACCGCUGUGGCCAUGUACUCGGACCGAAGUUCAUCUUCUCGCAAGUCCUUUCAAAAUUGCUUAGGAACAAGUCUAUGUCGGUCCCGACCUCAAAUGGCUUUAAUAGCUUGUCCAUGCAGUACGAUUCUGCCUCACUUUAUCGUCCCAGAGCCCCUUCACUUCCUUGAGACAACUCCAAACGUUUGCUUUCAAAUUCAAGUUGCAUUUUUCUUAACUCGCGAUCUUUAUCGUGUUCCUCUCUCUUGUUCUUUUCUCUCCUUUUUUUUCAGAAGUUCAAACCCCAUUUCAAUUUCUU